rnacentral:rRNA from 1 species
AAUAGAUACCCGGGUAGUCCACGCCGUAAACGAUGGAUGCUAGCUGUUAUGCGUAUCGACCCGUGUAGUAGCGAAGCUAACGCGUUAAGCAUCCCGCCUGGGGAGUACGAACGCAAGUUUAAAACUCAAAGGAAUUGACGGGGACCCGCACAAGCGGUGGAGCGUGUUCUUUAAUUCGAGGCUAAGCGAAGAACCUUACCAGGGCUUGACAUCCUUGGAAUUUCUCCGAAAGGAGAGAGUACUUUAUUGGACCAAGUGACAGGUGCUGCAUGGCCGUCGUCAGCUCGUGUCGUGAGAUGUUUGGUUAAGUCCAUUAACGAGCGCAACCCUUAUGAAUAGUUGUAUUUUUCUAUUCAGACUGCCCCGGUAACGGGGAGGAAGGGGGGAUGAUGUCAGGUCAGUAUUGCCCUUACGGCCCUGGGCUAGAAACGCGCUACAAUGGCCGGUACAAUGCGCUGCCAACCCGCGAGGGGGAGCAAAUCGCAUCAAAGCCGGUCCCAGUUCGGAUAAGAGGCUGAAACUCGCCUCUUUGAAGCCGGAAUCGCUAGUAAUCGU